rnacentral:rRNA from 1 species
CGUAAUAGCUCACUGGUCGAGUCGGCCUGCGCGGAAGAUGUAACGGGGCUAAACCAUGCACCGAAGCUGCGGCAGCGACGCUGAUGCGUUGUUGGGUAGGGGAGCGUUCUGUAAGCCUGCGAAGGUGUGUCGUGAGGCAUGCUGGAGGUAUCAGAAGUGCGAAUGCUGACAUAAGUAACGAUAAAGCGGGUGAAAAGCCCGCUCGCCGGAAGACCAAGGGUUCCUGUCCAACGUUAAUCGGGGCAGGGUGAGUCGACCCCUAAGGCGAGGCCGAAAGGCGUAGUCGAUGGGAAACGGGUUAAUAUUCCCGUACUUGGUGUUACUGCGAAGGGGGGACGGAGAAGGCUAUGUUGGCCGGGCGACGGUUGUCCCGGUUUAAGCGUGUAGGCUGGUUUUCCAGGCAAAUCCGGAAAAUCAAGGCUGAGGCGUGACGACGAGGCACUACGGUGCUGAAGCAACAAAUGCCCUGCUUCCAGGAAAAGCCUCUAAGCAUCAGGUAACAUCAAAUCGUACCCCAAACCGACACAGGUGGUCAGGUAGAGAAUACCAAGGCGCUUGAGAGAACUCGGGUGAAGGAACUAGGCAAAAUGGUGCCGUAACUUCGGGAGAAGGCACGCUGACAUGUAGGUGAAGUGAUUUACUCAUGGAGCUGAAGUCAGUCGAAGAUACCAGCUGGCUGCAACUGUUUAUUAAAAACACAGCACUGUGCAAACACGAAAGUGGACGUAUACGGUGUGACGCCUGCCCGGUGCCGGAAGGUUAAUUGAUGGGGUCAGCGCAAGCGAAGCUCCUGAUCGAAGCCCCGGUAAACGGCGGCCGUAACUAUAACGGUCCUAAGGUAGCGAAAUUCCUUGUCGGGUAAGUUCCGACCUGCACGAAUGGCGUAAUGAUGGCCAGGCUGUCUCCACCCGAGACUCAGUGAAAUUGAACUCGCUGUGAAGAUGCAGUGUACCCGCGGCAAGACGGAAAGACCCCGUGAACCUUUACUAUAGCUUGACACUGAACAUUGAGCCUUGAUGUGUAGGAUAGGUGGGAGGCUUUGAAGCGUGGACGCCAGUCUGCGUGGAGCCGACCUUGAAAUACCACCCUUUAAUGUUUGAUGUUCUAACGUGGACCCGUGAUCCGGGUUGCGGACAGUGUCUGGUGGGUAGUUUGACUGGGGCGGUCUCCUCCUAAAGAGUAACGGAGGAGCACGAAGGUUGGCUAAUCCUGGUCGGACAUCAGGAGGUUAGUGCAAUGGCAUAAGCCAGCUUGACUGCGAGCGUGACGGCGCGAGCAGGUGCGAAAGCAGGUCAUAGUGAUCCGGUGGUUCUGAAUGGAAGGGCCAUCGCUCAACGGAUAAAAGGUACUCCGGGGAUAACAGGCUGAUACCGCCCAAGAGUUCAUAUCGACGGCGGUGUUUGGCACCUCGAUGUCGGCUCAUCACAUCCUGGGGCUGAAGUAGGUCCCAAGGGUAUGGCUGUUCGCCAUUUAAAGUGGUACGCGAGCUGGGUUUAGAACGUCGUGAGACAGUUCGGUCCCUAUCUGCCGUGGGCGCUGGAGAACUGAGGGGGGCUGCUCCUAGUACGAGAGGACCGGAGUGGACGCAUCACUGGUGUUCGGGUUGUCAUGCCAAUGGCACUGCCCGGUAGCUAAAUGCGGAAGAGAUAAGUGCUGAAAGCAUCUAAGCACGAAACUUGCCCCGA